AACGAACGCUGGCGGCAGGCCUAACACAUGCAAGUCGAGCGAGGACUUCGGUUCUAGCGGCGGACGGGUGAGUAACGCGUGGGAAUGUGCCCUUCUCUACGGAAUAGCCCUGGGAAACUGGGAGUAAUACCGUAUACGCCCUUUUGGGGAAAGAUUUAUCGGAGAAGGAUCAGCCCGCGUUGGAUUAGGUAGUUGGUGGGGUAAUGGCCUACCAAGCCGACGAUCCAUAGCUGGUUUGAGAGGAUGAUCAGCCACACUGGGACUGAGACACGGCCCAGACUCCUACGGGAGGCAGCAGUGGGGAAUCUUAGACAAUGGGGGCAACCCUGAUCUAGCCAUGCCGCGUGAGUGAUGAAGGCCUUAGGGUUGUAAAGCUCUUUCAGCUGGGAAGAUAAUGACGGUACCAGCAGAAGAAGCCCCGGCUAACUCUGUG
rnacentral:rRNA from 1 species